GGGUUAGUGAGUCCUGAGUGAUUCGCUUAUGCUAUGAUUCAGCACAGCAAGGGAGGGGGCAAGGAGAAGAAGUGGAGUAGGAGGCAAAGACGGUGGAAAGAAACGAUGCAAAAUGCGUCUGCAAGUACAGAAAGAGAAAGAAAAUUGCGGGCAUUAGAUGCUGAAGCCUCUAAAUGUCACAGACCAACCAACAUAUUUAGCAGCACAGCCAGCAGCAGUACCUUGCAGCAGGUUCGUGUCACACAGUGGAAAUUUGUAUUUAUUUUGUAUAUUGUUUUAUUCUGAUUUUUAGUGUUUAUUUAUGAGUGUCAUCUUAUUUGCAUGGUUUUAUUCUGUUUCUAUUGCAUGGUUUUUAGUGUUUUAUCUGACAUGGUUUUUAUCCACUGUGGACUGGCUACACCUGGGACAAAUUAGCUGAUAGGGACCACCUGCUGAGGCAUGGGUGUGUCCAGAGGUGGCCUAUCAGCUGUGUAAAGACCUUUUAAAAGCAGGGCUAGCUGAGCACUGAAGGAGGAAGGCCCAGAGUGGAAGAGGAAUGCUAGAUGGCCAGCGUGACACGGCUUCCCAGUUGGACAGUGUGAAGGGCGACAGUGGGAGACGCUGCCUGUUAUCGACCGCCGGGCAGAGGUGUACCUCUGCCGGCAUAUGUGAGUAACGCUUUUCCCACUGUCGUAUGCUGGGUGCAGCUGAGCUGGGAAAGGGUUGCCAUGGCUAUGAGCCAGGGUCUCUUCCGGGACGCGUUUUCUGGCCCCUAUUUGUGUAUUUGCAGGAUGCUGACAUGAGGGGAUCCAUGGUGGCAUUGCGGGGAGGAUUCCGGCGUGAAGUGGAAGUCGGGCUGGGAUGUGGGCGGCCCAGUGAGAGGACAAGAGGGGAAUAGGAGGCUCCUCCCCGUUGGCCUAAGACAGGGCUGGCAUGGACCCAACUCAUGCAAAGGAACUUCUGGCCUGCUGAUGGACCCAUAAUGAACAUGUGGCAUAAUUAUAGCAGGGGAUUUUUAAUGAACGUAGAAAAUAGUAGUUUUACGGGUUUUAUGUAGUUUUAGUAGAUAACAUUUUAUUCCAUACAUUUUAAGGGUGUUUUUUAUUUGUGCUCCCUGGCCUAGUAAUAAACUGUUUCUGAUGA